GAUGAACGCUGGCGGCGUGCCUAAUACAUGCCAGUCGAGCGAACAGAUGAGGAGCUUGCUCCUCUGACGUUAGCGGCGGACGGGUGAGUAACACGUGGAUAACCUACCUAUAAGACUGGGAUAACUUCGGGAAACCGGAGCUAAUACCGGAUAAUAUAUUGAACCGCAUGGUUCAAUAGUGAAAGACGGUUUUGCUGUCACUUAUAGAUGGAUCCGCGCCGCAUUAGCUAGUUGGUAAGGUAACGGCUUACCAAGGCAACGAUGCGUAGCCGACCUGAGAGGGUGAUCGGCCACACUGGAACUGAGACACGGUCCAGACUCCUACGGGAGGCAGCAGUAGGGAAUCUUCCGCAAUGGGCGAAAGCCUGACGUAGCAACGCCGCGUGAGUGAUGAAGGUCUUCGGAUCGUAAAACUCUGUUAUUAGGGAAGAACAAAUGUGUAAGUAACUAUGCACGUCUUGACGGUACCUAAUCAGAAAGCCACGGCUAACUACGUG
rnacentral:rRNA from 1 species